UACGUAGGGUGCAAGCGUUGUCCGGAAUUAUUGGGCGUAAAGCGCUCGUAGGCGGGACAGGAAGUUCGUGUUGAAAGACCUCGGCUCAACUGAGGGACCGGCUCGAAUACUCUUGUUCUUGAGGCAAUCAGAGGGUGAUGGAAUUCCCGGUGUAGCGGUGAAAUGCGUAGAGAUGUGGAGGAACACCAGUGGCGAAGGCGACUCUUUGGCCUAUAACUGACGCUGAGGCGCGAAAGCGUGGGGAGCAAACAGG
rnacentral:rRNA from 1 species